AGAGUAAAAAUACGAGCGCUGCUGCUUCUUGCAGUACAGUGCCGGCUGAACGGGGAGUUGUCAGCCGGACGAAUAGCCUUCCGGCUUGCGGUUCGUGUUUUGCAUCCCGCU
rnacentral:ncRNA from 1 species